ACGGAAGGCAGCAGUGGGGAAUAUUGCACAAUGGGGGAAACCCUGAUGCAGCGACGCCGCGUGGAGGAAGAAGGUCUUCGGGUUGUAAACUCCUGUUGUUAGGGACGAUAAUGACGGUACCUAACAAGGAAGUGACGGCUAACUACGUGCCAGCAGCCGCGGUAAAACGUAGGUCACAAGCGCUGUCCGGAAUUACUGGGUGUAAAGGGAGCGCAGGCGGGAGAGCAAGUUGGAAGUGAGAUCUAUGGGCUCAACUCAUAAAUUGCUUUCGAAACUGCUUUUCUUGAGUAGUGCAGAGGUAGGCGGAAUUCCCGGUGUAGCGGUGGAAUGCGUAGAUAUCGGGAGGAACACCAGUGGCGAAGGCGGCCUACUGGGCACCAACUGACGCUGAGGCUCGAAAGUGUGGGUAGCAAACAGGAUUAGAUACCCUGGUA
rnacentral:rRNA from 1 species